CUACCGGGGUAUCUAAUCCUGUUUGCUCCCCACGCUUUCGCACCUCAGCGUCAGUAUCGAGCCAGUGAGCCGCCUUCGCCACUGUUGUUCGUCCGAAUAUCGACGAAUUUCACUUCUACACUCGGAAUUCCACUCACCUCUCUCGAACUCAAGAUACCCAGUAUCAAGGGCAGUUCCGGGGUUGAGCCCCGGGAUUUCACCCCUGACUUAAAUAUCCGCCUAAGCGCGCUUUACGCCCAGUAAUUCGGAACCGCGCUAGUCCCCUCCGUAUUACCGCUGAUGCUGGCAC
rnacentral:rRNA from 1 species